rnacentral:rRNA from 1 species
UACAGAGGUCUCGAGCGUUAGGCGGAAUCACUGGGCUUAAAGCGUGUGUAGGCGGGUCGUUUAAGUGCCUUGUGAAAUCCCAUGGCUCAACCAUGGAACUGCUGGGCAUACUGGCGAUCUUGUGCCACCUAGGGGCGAGCGGAACAGAUGGUGGAGCGGUGAAAUGCGUAGAUAUCAUCUGGAACGCCAAUGGUGAAAACAGCUCGCUGGGGGUGUGCAGACGCUGAGACACGAAAGCCAGGGGAGCGAACGGG